rnacentral:rRNA from 1 species
UACGUAGGGUGCGAGCGUUAAUCGGAAUUACUGGGCGUAAAGCGUGCGCAGGCGGUUCGCUAAGACCGAUGUGAAAUCCCCGGGCUUAACCUGGGAACUGCAUUGGUGACUGGCGGGCUAGAGUAUGGCAGAGGGGGGUAGAAUUCCACGUGUAGCAGUGAAAUGCGUAGAGAUGCGGAGGAACACCGAUGGCGAAAGCAGCCCCCUGGGCUGACACUGACGCUCAGGCACGAAAGCGUGGGGAGCAAACAGG